CCGCGAUUUGAAAAUCGUUUAUCGAAUAUAACUUGUCCGAGAACCUGCUAUAAAUUGAAAUUUCUAUAGACAGAACUAAACAGUUACUUGUGGUCUGCCAUUGAAGAUCAGUUGGUUUCAAGCAACGUUCAACAUUUUGUCAUUGACACUUCACAGGUGCGUGAAUUUCCGGAAAGUACCAUGAAGAGUUGGCUGAUAAGUGGAACGCGCGCAAUAAGACUUCUCUGCAUCUUCCUUCUGGUGCAGUCGUUUUUGGUUACUUCGUCGAAUUCUGAACCCGAAACGAACCCUGCGAUGCCAGGGAUGGCUGUAACCCCCGCGGUGGAAUACAGAAUUUUACGUAGAUGUAACAUGGCGUUCAACCCAAAGUUUAGACCCAAAUGGUGCAGAAAAUUUUCAGUCUCUUAAAAUUUAUGAUUCACAUAUCUUUGUUCCUGUUCUUCAUUGCAUUGACGUUGCAAGAUUCAAAGGACGUUGAUUACUAAUUGGUCGAUUAUUAGCUCACUCAUUUUCUGUAUUCAGGAUACUGUUCCUUGUCAAUUGAAUUACAAAGAAUGCAAUAAACAAGAUAACGCAAACAUCGAAUUUGUUAUGAUUUAGAUAUAAACUCUACUUAGAACAUUUUUACAAGUACGAAAUUCAGUCUGCUGAUUGACUUACAGAUGAAUGUGCUUGGAGUACACAUUAUAGUAAAAGCAACGAAUAUUUUGAUACGAUUGGGCUUAGGGUCCAACUAUCUCGAAAUAUAGGACACAGAGUAUGUGGAACGAGUUACAAUUAUACUAAGCCACGCAAACGUAUCCAUGACAGAUCGAGAAGAAUUUCAAUAUUUGAGUGUGGAAUUUACUUCUUUUUACCAUUUUGCUACCAGAAAGUCUGCUUAAGAUCAUCCAACGAUUUCUGCGACUAAUCGAAAUCCGCGGAAGUUUCAUCAAUUCCCUUUGUAGGGUUGACCAAACUAUCGUCACAGUUAAUCGUCUUUUCUCGCAUCACAGGAACGUAACGCGAGUAGAUCUACGUGGAGCAGAUGCGCAAUGAAAGCGAAGAAUACAGAGCGUUCAGAAGCUUCAGCGAACGAAAUUAAAAGUAAUUUUUCAGCCAAGAAAUAUAUGAAGAUCUUCGAUUAAAUGAUCUUCCAGAAUGUGAGAUGAAUUUUCCGCAUUUGACAACGCUCACGAUGUUCGAGAAAAGCGAUGUAAACAGACUUUGCCACUUGGAGGAAACGUGACAUAUUGCGUGAAUAUACUGCGGCUCACAUUAACAUUAGGAUACUCUUUGAACGGGAACAACUUUCUCAAUAUGGGAUCAAACGACUUGAGUUUCUUCGAGAAGCUACAGUUAGUAGAUUGGAUGACGUUGAAAGAAGUUUUGAAAGAUCGCGACUGGUCCAAGCCGCGAAAAAAAUGGCGAAGGUCGCUUUUCACGUCCAUUUUAUCUGACUCUGUAAUGAAAAUUUUAACAAUACGUUCUGUGGAUUUAUGUCUGCUAUAUACAGGCUAAAAAUGUAACCGAAAUCGUUUGGUGCGGAAGUGGGCAAUCAUCGAAAGAUACAAAAAUCUUUUAGAUUUGUUAGAGGGAAAGGCGGGAAGUGGCGAGAAACUGCGAUUCGCACAAUUUUCCACCUUUUGCAGCUCGCAGCAACGUAAUCCCCAAAUUAUUUUCUAUUAAAGAGCGUUCGAAUAUUAAUAUGAGCCGCUGAUUAUCGCAAACAAACGAUCAAGGUAAUCGCGAAUUUACGACUCUUAUUCGAAUUGAAAAAUUGUUUACGAGCGAUUGUUCCGCGUAGCUCGGAUAUAUCGCGUUGGAAAACCACCUAUAAAUAGGAAUUCGCCUAGGUUCAAUCAAACAGUUGCUUGGAGCCUCAGAGAAUCCUUAACUCUCACGCAUCGCAGGUGAAUCAAGUUGCAGAAAGCGUCAUGAAGAACAAGCUGUUUAGUGCGACAUGUAUGGCCAGCAUUCUAUUUGCCAUCCUUCUCAUCCAAUUUUCGAUAACUUUAUCGAAUGCUGAACCUGUUGUGAGCGGCGUGGUGUCACAGGAGGACCGGAUGGGCAAAGGCAACAUUCCAGCUGCCAGAUCCUUUAUCAACGUGCCGAGGCCAACUACCACCACACCAAAAUGUCCACCUGACCGUCCACAAUUUCUCAGUGGACAUUGCAGGGCAGUUUUUUAACUCGCGAUUAUCCAAUUAAUAGGUUUCUACGUUUCAAGAUUCCGCGAAAUCAAUUACACUUGUCUCUAUCUCUGUUUGCCUUUCGCCGCUUCGUGAAUGAUACGCAGUGAACGUUACUCACUUGCUUAUUGAUUGUGCAUAUUUAUGUAAUAGUAUAUUUAUAUAUAUAUAUGUAGUCUGUAAUAAAGGGAGUAAAGCUUGCA